UUUAACUGAAGAGUUUGAUCAUGGCUCAGAUUGAACGCUGGCGGCAGGCUUAACACAUGCAAGUCGAGCGGGGGAAGGUAGCUUGCUACUGGACCUAGCGGCGGACGGGUGAGUAAUGCUUAGGAAUCUGCCUAUUAGUGGGGGACAACAUCUCGAAAGGGAUGCUAAUACCGCAUACGUCCUACGGGAGAAAGCAGGGGAUCUUCGGACCUUGCGCUAAUAGAUGAGCCUAAGUCGGAUUAGCUAGUUGGUGGGGUAAAGGCCUACCAAGGCGACGAUCUGUAGCGGGUCUGAGAGGAUGAUCCGCCACACUGGGACUGAGACACGGCCCAGACUCCUACGGGAGGCAGCAGUGGGGAAUAUUGGACAAUGGGGGGAACCCUGAUCCAGCCAUGCCGCGUGUGUGAAGAAGGCCUUAUGGUUGUAAAGCACUUUAAGCGAGGAGGAGGCUACUUUAGUUAAUACCUAGAGAUAGUGGACGUUACUCGCAGAAUAAGCACCGGCUAACUCUGUGCCAGCAGCCGCGGUAAUACAGAGGGUGCGAGCGUUAAUCGGAUUUACUGGGCGUAAAGCGUGCGUAGGCGGCUUAUUAAGUCGGAUGUGAAAUCCCCGAGCUUAACUUGGGAAUUGCAUUCGAUACUGGUGAGCUAGAGUAUGGGAGAGGAUGGUAGAAUUCCAGGUGUAGCGGUGAAAUGCGUAGAGAUCUGGAGGAAUACCGAUGGCGAAGGCAGCCAUCUGGCCUAAUACUGACGCUGAGGUACGAAAGCAUGGGGAGCAAACAGGAUUAGAUACCCUGGUAGUCCAUGCCGUAAACGAUGUCUACUAGCCGUUGGGGCCUUUGAGGCUUUAGUGGCGCAGCUAACGCGAUAAGUA
rnacentral:rRNA from 1 species